UGCACCUGAUUGAUUUUGGUCGCCAACGAGUGGCGGACGGGUGAGUAACACGUAGGUAACCUGCCCAGAAGCGGGGGACAACAUUUGGAAACAGAUGCUAAUACCGCAUAACAGCGUUGUUCGCAUGAACAACGCUUAAAAGAUGGCUUCUCGCUAUCACUUCUGGAUGGACCUGCGGUGCAUUAGCUUGUUGGUGGGGUAACGGCCUACCAAGGCGAUGAUGCAUAGCCGAGUUGAGAGACUGAUCGGCCACAAUGGGACUGAGACACGGCCCAUACUCCUACGGGAGGCAGCAGUAGGGAAUCUUCCACAAUGGGCGCAAGCCUGAUGGAGCAACACCGCGUGAGUGAAGAAGGGUUUCGGCUCGUAAAGCUCUGUUGUUAAAGAAGAACACGUAUGAGAGUAACUGUUCAUACGUUGACGGUAUUUAACCAGAAAGUCACGGCUAACUACGUGCCAGCAGCCGCGGUAAUACGUAGGUGGCAAGCGUUAUCCGGAUUUAUUGGGCGUAAAGAGAGUGCAGGCGGUUUUCUAAGUCUGAUGUGAAAGCCUUCGGCUUAACCGGAGAAGUGCAUCGGAAACUGGAUAACUUGAGUGCAGAAGAGGGUAGUGGAACUCCAUGUGUAGCGGUGGAAUGCGUAGAUAUAUGGAAGAACACCAGUGGCGAAGGCGGCUACCUGGUCUGCAACUGACGCUGAGACUCGAAAGCAUGGGUAGCGAACAGGAUUAGAUACCCUGGUAGUCCAUGCCGUAAACGAUGAGUGCUAGGUGUUGGAGGGUUUCCGCCCUUCAGUGCCGGAGCUAACGCAUUAAGCACUCCGCCUGGGGAGUACGACCGCAAGGUUGAAACUCAAAGGAAUUGACGGGGGCCCGCACAAGCGGUGGAGCAUGUGGUUUAAUUCGAAGCUACGCGAAGAACCUUACCAGGUCUUGACAUCUUGCGCCAACCCUAGAGAUAGGGCGUUUCCUUCGGGAACGCAAUGACAGGUGGUGCAUGGUCGUCGUCAGCUCGUGUCGUGAGAUGUUGGGUUAAGUCCCGCAACGAGCGCAACCCUUGUUACUAGUUGCCAGCAUUAAGUUGGGCACUCUAGUGAGACUGCCGGUGACAAACCGGAGGAAGGUGGGGACGACGUCAGAUCAUCAUGCCCCUUAUGACCUGGGCUACACACGUGCUACAAUGGACGGUACAACGAGUCGCGAACUCGCGAGGGCAAGCAAAUCUCUUAAAACCGUUCUCAGUUCGGACUGCAGGCUGCAACUCGCCUGCACGAAGUCGGAAUCGCUAGUAAUCGCGGAUCAGCAUGCCGCGGUGAAUACGUUCCCGGGCCUUGUACACACCGCCCGUCACACCAUGAGAGUUU
rnacentral:rRNA from 2 species